UCCUGCAGUGUCAGGAUGAACGCAGGACCAGAACAGGGGCUUGAUGUCUUCCAUGAAGUCUGAUUUCUCAUACUAAGUUACUGAUCUUUGAUCCAAUUAAUAUGGUCUAAUAGUUCUUCUAAAUUCCCCCCACCAGAGCAUGGAGCCAGCACUGAUGUAAGGACAUUUAAAUGAUGCCUCAGGAUCCAGGAAGCACAGAGAAAUACUUAAAGAGUUUGGAGUGAAUGCUACAGGUUUGUGCUUUUUGAAAAAAAAAAAAAAAUUAAAUGCUUUUCUGUCUUGAUGCUUGUUUUAGGGGUUGUAGAAGGUGAUUUAGCUGCCAUAGAAGCAUACAAGUCAUCAGGAGGAGAUAUUGCACGUCAACUCACUGCAGAUGAAGUACGCUUGCUGAACCGUCCUUCUGCCUUUGAUGUUGGCUACACUCUUGUACACUUGGCCAUACGUUUCCAGAGGCAAGAUAUGUUGGCAAUAUUGCUUACAGAGGUGUCUCAACAAGCAGCAAAGUGUAUUCCAGCAAUGGUGUGUCCUGAACUGACAGAACAAAUCCGGAGGGAAAUAGCUGCAUCUCUUCAUCAGAGAAAGGGGGAUUUUGCUUG